rnacentral:rRNA from 1 species
GACGAACGCUGGCGGCGUGCUUAACACAUGCAAGUCGAACGGAAAGGCCCUGCUUUUGUGGGGUGCUCGAGUGGCGAACGGGUGAGUAACACGUGAGUAACCUGCCCUUUACUUUGUGAUAACUUCAGGAAACUGGUGCUAAUACCGGAUAGGAGCUCCUGCUGCAUGGUGUGGGUUGGUUAGUUUCGGCGGUUGGGGAUGGACUCGCGGCUUAUCAGCUUGUUGGUGGGGUAGUGGCUUACCAAGGCUUUGACGGGUAGCCGGCCUGAGAGGGUGACCGGCGACAAUGGGACUGAGAUACGGACCAGAAUCCUACGGGAGGCAGCAGUGGGGAAUAUUGCACAAUGGGAGGAAGCAUGAUGCAGAAACGCAGCGUGCGGGAUGAAGGCAUUCGGGUUGUAAAACGAUUUAGAAUGUGACGAAGAGUGAGUGACGGUAAUGGGUAAAGAAGCACCGGCUAACUACGUG